rfam:Picea glauca, whole genome shotgun sequence.
ACAUGCAUACAACAUAGCAUUAAUGCAUCAGAUCCCAUUAGAACUCUGCAAAUAAGCAUGCUCAGGAUAUAGUAGUACUUGGAUGGGUGACCGCUCGGGAAGUCCUAGUGUUUUACAUGCC